UGGGUCUUCUGCCUCAGGAUUAAAAGGAACAAACAAGCCAGCCAGCCUCAGUGCAGGACUGCUGCUAACCCAACUUCUCUAAUCACUCAUUCGCCAUGAACAAACAGAUUCAGUUAAUGUGUAAUCUGCAAACACCAGGGGAGCCAUGAGGCAGGGGCCUUCAGGGAGCUAAGCGGCUGACAUCCCUGGGUGGGUGUGGGUGUGAGAGAGAUCUUGCCCUGCUCUACGCCUGCUUUCUGCUGCUGCUGCUACAAUGGCAACCAGUGCCACGGCUUUCAAAAGAGCUGCCUUCAUUGCCAGGCUCAGCGAAGGGAGCACAAAAGGCUGGUGAUCCGAGCGUGGGAACACUGCAAUUUCCAUUUGUGAGGCAGCCAUUCCCCAAUCAGAGGCGGGAAUAAGUCUCCCACUCCUUCCCCUCCUUUCUAUCUUCUUUUUUUUGGGGGGGGGGGGAGGAAUUCCCAGAGUUGAACUUCAGCCCCUGUUGCAUCACAGCAGUCCAGGGUGGAAAGCAGCAGGAACAAAGAGCGGCGGAGAUCACUGGUACGGCGAGAUUCUUUUAAAAUACUAUUUUCUUUCAAAGCACGGAGAAAGCACAGCUCGUCUUGGUGAAGAAAAGGGGGAAGAUUUAAAAAGACACUUCCCUUGUCUGGAAGGGAGUCCAGUUCACUGGUGAUCAGGGAAGCAUAAACAAAACAAAACAAGAAAACGGUGGCAGUGGUUGCCCACUCAUCAGGCCUAUAAUCUAAAGCAGUAGAAACCCAAUCCAGGCCUCUGAACACAAUCAGCUCUAUUUAUCAGGAAGUUGCAGCUCUCUCGCAAGAUGCAUGUCAGAAAGUCAGGGGUGGAGUGGUAGAAAAAAGAAGCGGAAGAGAGAACACAGUGUUCCAGGUAAGUGAGAAUAUCAUGCCAACUUAAAUAAAGAAAGCAGGAGGUAUGCUGCCAUGGGACUGUGGCUGCAAAGGGAGGGGCAGCCCCUAGAUUUGUAUAACAGGUCAGGACAAGAAUAAUGACAAAAUGGGGUUGCUCCAGGUGUUGAUAUUUCCAGGCAGAGUUUACAAGGAACGGAUAGAGAAUCCACAAUUUCCUCAUAACCAACAUGAACUUUCAUAACCCCACUGCCAAACCCACGUGUUUUAGUGUCUAUUAAGUUAGCAUCAGAAACACAUUCGCAUCAGAAACGCAUAAACUGAAUGUUAGCAGUUGUUUUUAAAGUCCACAGGGUUUUAUCUGUGUAGUGAACACUUAAAUUGCUCCUUAUUCCGUUUAAGCAUAUUGCCAUUCUUAAAAAUCACAGGGAAGUUACAGCUGCUGAGGAGCAUAACACUCCAAUCACUGAAGCAGGAUAAAGUUGUUCUUGGAAAAAAUCUACCCUAAGCCUGGAGGAAUUUUGAGCGGGAUAAGCUGCAUGGGUCAAAUCGAUGCCAUUUCAAGCAAGACCAGGUAGGGGGGGAGGGAGGCAGCCAUCACCAUAGACUUAAAAAUCAAAAUUCUUCCUAUUGUACAAAGCACCCCUUGUGUCAAAAAUUGUUAAAAAAAAGAAAGAGUAUGAGAACAGUACCUUAGGUGUGGAAAAGUACUGCUCUGGGUGCCCUAAGGAAUUUCUCAUGAGGAAUUAAAGGAAAUAUAGCUGAGGAGAGUGUUAUUUUUAGGACAAAAAGAUUUAGCCAUGUUUUUAGGACUAAAAGAUCUCAAGAGGCGGGGAGAAGUGUGUUUUGUAACAACUUGGCAGUGAUGUGCUUUUGGGAAAUAUCAAAUUGGGAAUUUAUUUGACUGUAGGGAGCCAGCUGGAGCGGGGCUAUCCAGUUCAGUAAAUUUCCUCUGUUGGAGAAGAGAUAUGGGGCUUGAGGGAGGGGAAAAUAGGUAACGUGUUACUACUGAUCACAAUCUUUUCCAGGCUAAAAACAGUUAUUGGAAGAGCCAGGUGGUGAGUGACCAGGCGAAUAUCGGGGUUGGGGGUGCCUCCUUGGAAAGAAGGACUGGGGAAGAAGCAAGCUAAUACCCAUCUGGAAGGAAAUGGGUAAUAAGUAUCUGUUUAGGAACUGGGCAAGGGAUUUAGAGAAGAGAUUGGCUAAAAGAAGACGAGGAUGUUUUUUGGUUGUUUUUAACGUGGGAGCUACGUUCCCGCCCGGAGCUAUUUAAGGACAGGACUGAGCCCACCACCGUGACCCCCAUACCGGAAGUGCAGCCCCCUUCCCUUUUAUUUGGGGAUGGGCUGCGGGGAAAGGCCGCCGGGUCUCCUUCCCUCUUGGCCCCCCUCCCCUUCCCCAACUUACCCGCCCCAAAGAGCGCGGGACUCCCGCCGUCACUGCCAUGCUGUUGGUGGUGCUUCUGUCUAAUGAGGCCGGGCGGGGCCUGCUGGAGCCGGGGCAGAAAGGUUCCGCCCCUCGCCCGCCUCCAGCUCCACCUCUAUUUGUCUACUUUCCAUGCGGCUCUAAAUGACAAAAAGGCUCGAGCUGAAAAGAGGGCGCAGCUCAGGACGCCUUUGUUUUCAAUGUCAAAUUUUGAAGGAUGAGUGCGCCGCUAAGUAUGUGCAAAGGGCUUGGCUUCCCUUCCCCCGGUCGACUUCAUUUAAACGUCGAGUUAAAAUGCGAAGGCUCUACAACCCUAAUAAGGAAUUACAUCGAGAUUAUAUUCAGUACUGCGACGUAUUCAGCACAUUCUUACUUAUGUAUGAUUAAAAA